GGCCAUGUGGCUGUGACGUCUGUCAUGCCACUGAUCUCCACGGUUGAUUUGGUUGAUCCAGCUGGCCAGGCGGGUGUCCUUUCCUCCCUCAUAUUCCAGGUGCUUCCCUCCUGAAGCUGAAGCUGCUCACUCUGUCAAAGAGGACGACCUUCCCGAAAGAGGAGGACCGUUUUUCAGUCGUAUUUUGAGUAGCAGUGCUCCCCUCCUAGAACCUUCAAACAAGCUUUCAAGGUCCGUGUGUAGGAGAACUUAGGUAGUCAAGCUUCGAAGACUCCAGAUAUAUCCAAAUGAGGUGCUGCAUGGGGCAACCUGCCUUUCUUU
rnacentral:snRNA from 1 species